rnacentral:misc_RNA from 1 species
UUGGACUACUAGGGUUUCUAAUCCUGUUCGCUCCCCACACUUUCGCUCCUCAGCGUCAGGUAAUGCCCAGAGAACCGCCUUCGCCACCGGUGUUCCUCCUGAUAUCUGCGCAUUUCACCGCUACACCAGGAAUUCCGUUCUCCCCUGCAUACCUCUAGUCUGCCCGUAUCGGAAGCAAGCACACAGUUAAGCUGUGUGUUUUCACUCCCGACGCGACAAACCGCCUACGAGCCCUUUACGCCCAAUAAUUCCGGACAACGCUCGCACCCUACGUAUUACCGCGGCUGCUGGCACC